CAUCGGGACUGAGGUCCAGCACUUUGGGUCCCACAGGUCUUAUGGUCGUCAGCCACAGGCACACCAACCAUUCCAUUGCCCUUGCUAUCCUCAGAUUCUAGCCAGAUGCUCUAGAGAAGGGCAUGUGCUUGGCCUACUCUGCCAGAAACCAUGGCCUAGUGCAAGGCAGGCCCUUAAGUUCUCUUGGCUUGUGCCCAUUGUUAUUGAGGAUAUGCUUGGCAGGGAAUCACUAGGUAUUCCUGUUAGCUCCAAGAAGAGUGCUCCAGCCAUAGUGCAGAGUAGAAUGUGAGGCAGAAGUAGGCAUAGCACUGGCACAGAAACUUGGCGAAUUUUAAGCAUAAAGGUCUGGCUCUGGAUGUAGGCUUCUCAGAGUGAAGACCUGACAGGUGUGCUAACUCUGGUGUGUUUCUCUGCCGAGACAAUGGAGUCCAUUUUGCAUGUGUAGUGUUGCCUGAUUCAGUAUCAUGUGUGACUCAGGGAGUGUGUUACUCUGAUGUGUUUUGGUGGUUAAACAGAAAGACUCUGUCCCUGGCAGCCUGUAAGAUGCUCGGGCAACUGGCUUUUAAAUAGAGCAGGUGGCAGAAAUGGGAGGCGACGGCAGACAUAUCUGGUGUCAUUUUCCACCUGACCUACAACUUCUCUGUGUGCCAGGGCUCAUGGCACUUUGGUGGACUCUGUGGUUAGCAUGAGACUUGCAGGCCAAUAUCUGCAAGAGAUGCGUGGAUGGAUCUUUUGUAGGAACCUCCCUUUGUGUGGAAGCCUAUGUUUCAGAUGUUUUUGUGAUGUUCCUUAAUUUUUUUGGACGUUCUUCCAUGUCUCUUAGGCAAUGUCAAUGUGCAUAUGCUGGAGCUGUCCUCGAAACAACAGUCUUAGCCGAGCUGUCCAGCUGGAUAGUCUCUCAAAUCUAGAGACACAGGUCGCAUUGCAUUUCCAGCAUGGGCCAUGGUAGACAUCCAGAGGAAAUGGCCCCACAAGAUUGGCUGAGUGUUGAUGGCACCCCACUGUGUCUCCAGUGCACUGGUUUGGUGUUGCUGCCUUGCCCGAGGGCACCUGAGGUAAAAGGUCACUUUGCAUUUCCAGCAUGGGCCAUGGUCGACAUCCAGAGGAAAUGGCCCCACAAGAUUGCCUGAGUGAUGAUGGCACCCCACUGUGUCUCAGUUCACUGGUUUCGUGUUGCUGCCUUACCCGAGGGCACCUGAGGUAAAAGGCUCACAUUGUAUUUCCGGCAUUGGCCAUGGUCAACAUCCAGAGGCAAUGGCCCCACAAGAUUGGCUGAGUGUUGAUGGCACCCCACUGUGUCUCCAGUGCACUGGUUUGAUGUUGCUGCCUUGCCUGAGGGCAUGUGAGUUAAAAGAAAAUGAUCUACUACAGAAAUAUCUUCAGGUAAUCAGCACUAGCAGGAAAUACCUGAAAAAAAGACUCUUCAGACCAAGAUCACUUCACCAUAUAUUAUACAAAAGCUGUACUCUGGAGAUGAUACCUACAGUGCUGAGUUGGGGACAUUAUAGAUGGUGCUAUUUCUUCUACCAAACUUCAUCAAAACAGUCGUCAUUAUACAUGCUGAUGCCUCUUCCCUGUGUAGCAGCAGACACCACCUGCAGAUAAGAAAUGCUUAAUCAUCUGAUAUGCCCCCUUGGAAUGCAGAGAUUCACAUAUCCCAGUGCUGCCUGAGAAGACCUUCAUCAAAAUUUGGAGCAUAGGAGCUUUGUACCCCUGGAAGAACUUUUUGCACUGAAGCCCUCUGCAUUGGCAUGUGACCAUUCUUAACUCAGAGGCAAGGUUGGCAGGCCAGUCAUCUGACAUGCCCUCUUGGAAUGCAGAGAACCAAAUAUCUCAGGUAAGUGGAAAGCAGAUAGCCAAUGGCUCCCCCUAGAAAUGAGUUGUGCCUUCCUAGUAGGCAUCCUAUACUGAGAGAGGCCCAUGUUUCUGACUGAACGAAUGAAAGUACCAAGAAAUUAUACCACCUGAAGGAAGGUUUUGAGUAUGUUCCACUAUGUGGACCCACCGAAGUACGAAGGGUUAGAAAUGUGCUCUACUUCCAAUUAGUCUUACUCACAUAAUU